CCUACGGGAGGCAGCAGUGGGGAAUAUUGCACAAUGGGCGAAAGCCUGAUGCAGCGACGCCGCGUGAGGGAUGACGGCCUUCGGGUUGUAAACCUCUUUCAGCAGGGAAGAAGCGAGAGUGACGGUACCUGCAGAAGAAGCGCCGGCUAACUACGUGCCAGCAGCCGCGGUAAUACGUAGGGCGCAAGCGUUGUCCGGAAUUAUUGGGCGUAAAGAGCUCGUAGGCGGCUUGUUGCGUCGGUUGUGAAAGCCCGGGGCUUAACCCCGGGUCUGCAGUCGAUACGGGCAGGCUAGAGUGUGGUAGGGGAGAUCGGAAUUCCUGGUGUAGCGGUGAAAUGCGCAGAUAUCAGGAGGAACACCGGUGGCGAAGGCGGAUCUCUGGGCCAUUACUGACGCUGAGGAGCGAAAGCGUGGGGAGCGAACAGGAUUAGAUACCCUGGUAGUCCACGCCGUAAACGUUGGGAACUAGGUGUUGGCGACAUUCCACGUCGUCGGUGCCGCAGCUAACGCAUUAAGUUCCCGCCUGGGAGUACGGCCGCAAGGCAAACGUACGAAUGAGUGNGNGUGNGCGAGCGACGACGAGGAGAGGAG
rnacentral:rRNA from 1 species